rnacentral:tRNA from 1 species
CGUAGCUCAGCUGGAUAGAGCGUCCGCCUCCUAAGCGGAAGGUCGUGGGUUCGAAUCUCAUCG